rnacentral:rRNA from 1 species
GACGAACGCUGGCGGCGUGCCUAAUACAUGCAAGUCGAACGGAGAGUUUCUGGUGCUUGGGCGUGCAAAAAUUAGGGGCGAACGGGUGAGAAACAAGUAAAGAACCCGCCUCAUUGAGAGGGACUCAGAUAGGAAACGAUAACACAGAACGGGAGACAGUGCUUCAUGGAUGGGGGAGAAAUGAAAGGGGGGUUGGGUAAGAACACGAGGCGGCUUUGCGGGUCAGUAGCUAGUUGGUGGGGUAAAGGCUCAACAAGGAGACGAUGCAAAGCCGACCCGGGAGGCUGAUCGGCCACACUGGGACUGAGACACGGCCCAGACUCCUACGGGAGGCAGCAGUAGGGAAUCUUCCGCAAUGGGCGAAAGCCUUACGGAGCAACGCCGCGUGAGUGAAGAAGGAUUUCGGUUCGUAAAGCUCUGUUGUUAGGGAAGAAUGGAUUUGUAGUAACUAUACAUGUAAGAGACGGUACCUAACCAGAAAGCCACGGCUAACUACGUG